GGGAUUUGUGUUCCCCCGAGUUUUGUGUUUCCCCGAACACUGGGCACUAGUGUUAUGUGUUUCCCCUCCCCUCCCCAUCCAAUUAUCAUUUACAAUGGGGGACCCCCAGUAAUAAAUUAGCCAGUCAUUCAUAGGAGAAUUCGUGCGGUUAAAACCUUAAAAUCUUCAAUUUUUUGCUGAGAUUUGGAAUAUCGUCAGCGAGUGUUCUUCAUCGAUCGAAUAUCAGAUGCCAGUAGGACCAAUAGGUUAUAUUAAUGUGAGAUUUCAUGUCAAAUWAUGUCUCCUGGUGAAGUUCCAGCACCAUAACCCUUCUGGCCGCAUUGAUGCUUGGCUGCUUAAUCACUGGGAUGUGAACUGCAAGAGAUCUA